rnacentral:rRNA from 1 species
CGAGAAGACCCUGUGGAGCUUUAGACACCAAGAUAGACCAUGUUAAACACUCCCGCAUAAAGGACUAAACCAAAUGAGACCUAUCUUAAUGUCUUUGGUUGGGGCGACCAAGG